UAACCUGCUAAAUAGCCCGUAUUGCUUUGGCAGUACGCCGGCUUCUUAGAGGGACUAUCGGCUCAAGCCGAUGGAAGUUUGAGGCAAUAACAGGUCUGUGAUGCCCUUAGAUGUUCUGGGCCGCACGCGCGCUACACUGACAGAGCCAGCGAGUACUCCCUUGGCCGGAAGGCCCGGGUAAUCUUGUUAAACUCUGUCGUGCUGGGGAUAGGGCAUUGCAAUUAUUGCCCUUCAACGAGGAAUCCCUAGUAAGCGCAAGUCAUCAGCUUGCGUUGAUUACGUCCCUGCCCUUUGUACACACCGCCCGUCGCU
rnacentral:rRNA from 1 species